rnacentral:rRNA from 1 species
GACAAACGCUGGCGGCAUGCCUAACACAUGCAAGUCGAACGGCCAGACCAGGGGAGCUUUUCGGUGUGGAACUGGAGUGUUGGUGGCGGAUGGGUGAGUAACGCGUGGACAACCUACCUUGUAAAGGGGAAUAACCUCGAGCAAUCGUAGCUCAUACCCCCUAAUACCCUUGCUUCGCGUGCAGUAAGGCGGACAGGCGGCCUUAGCGCUGUCGCUACUAGAUGGGUCCGCGUCUGAUUAGCUAGUUGGUGGGGUAAAGGCUCACCAAGGCGACGAUCAGUAGCCGGCCUGAGAGGGUGAACGGCCACAUUGGAACUGAGACACGGCCCAAACUCCUACGGGAGGCAGCAGUGGGGAAUCUUCCGCAAUGGGCGAAAGCCUGACGGAGCAAUGCCGCGUGAGUGAAGAAGGCCUUCGGGUUGUAAAACUCUGUUCUUAGCGAAGAGAGGGUGUUGGAGUAACUGACAAUACUAGGACGGUAGAUGAGGAGGAAGCCCCGGCUAACUAUGUG